GAAAUGCGAUACGUAAUGCGAAUUGCAGAAUUCAGUGAAUCAUCAAAUCUUUGAACGCAAAUGGCACUGUCGGGAUAGGCCUGGCAGUACGUUUCUUUCAGCGUCGUUUCAACCACACUCGGCCUUCGUGCCGGAUUGUUGAGUGCUCACAUUUUCACAAAUGUGUCACUUUAAAUGUCGCGGAGGACAUGUGCUUUAGCACACUGCUCUAAGUAAACUACAGUGACGUGGGUAAUUUCACAUUGUUGAAAAUUUACGUGACUGUCUGUUGAAAGGUGUUUGUGCGGCUUGGCGCAACCGUCUGACGUUUUGAGGGCGCAAGCCUUCAACUUUUCUUCGACUAAGACCUGAAAUGAAGCGAGAAUACCCGCCGAACUUAA
rnacentral:misc_RNA from 1 species